AUGUCGUACAUGUUCCAGCGCUAUCCCUCCUCUCCAGGCGAACAGUUUCUCUGUUCCUCGCCGCCGCCGCCGUUUGUUCCUCCUCUAUGUGCCGGUUUCCUUCGUCCUCGAUGCACCGGCGUUCUACCGUGGGCGAGCAUUUGCUGCGCGACAGCAUGCGCGCCAGUGCGGUACUGUUCUUCUGUAGCCCCUUGUUGUUGUUUUCAUUUCGACACCCAUGAACGCUUGCUCCCCUUCCACACACCUCUCUCUCUCUCUCUCUCUCUCUGCAGGCGGCGGCGAUGGCCGCUCCGUACGGAAGGGACGCAACGAAAAAGACAGGACUUCACCGAUAGGACGACGACGGGUGCAUGCGACCUAAUCCUUAGGUUCUACUCGUAUGUUGGAAGGGUGUGGAUGAACAAGAUAGGAGAGGAGGUAAGAAUGGAGAUUAAGGGAGUAGAUGGGGCGCCCCGUUCAGGCUGGAAGUAG
rnacentral:rRNA from 1 species